ACAUUGACUCGAAAUAGUAAAAUGGUUUCCAGGUGAUAACUCAAGAAUGCUUAUGCCUAGGAUCAUGAAACUUCAUAGAUACAUUGAUCAUGACUGGCAGAUGACCCCUAUUGAUUUUCAGGUCACUAGGUCAAAGGUCAAGGUCACAGUGACUCGAAACAGUAAAAUGGUUUCCGGAUGAUAACUCAAGAAUGCUUACGCCUAGGAUCAUGAAACUUCAUAGGUACAUUGAUCAUGACUGGCAGAUGACCCCUAUUGAUUUUCAGGUCACUAGGUCAAAGGUCAAGGUCACAGUGACACGAAAUAGUAAAAUGGUUUCCGGAUGAUAACUCAAGAAUGCUUACGCCUAGGAUCAUGAAACUUCAUAGGUACAUUGAUCAUGACUUGCAGAUGACCUCUAUUGAUUUUCAGGUCACUAGGUCAAAGGUCAAGGUCACAGUGACUCGAAAUAGUAAAAUGGUUUCCGGAUGAUAACUCAAGAAUGCUUAGGCAUAGGAUCAUGAAACUUCAUAGGUACAAUGAUCAUGACUGGCAGAUGACUUCUAUUGAUUUUCAGGUCACUAGGUCAAAGGUCAAGGUCACAGUGACUCGAAAUAGUAAAAUGGUUUCCGGAUGAUAACUCAAGAAUGCUUACGCCUAGGAUCAUGAAACUUCAUAGGUACAUUGAUCAUGACUGGCAGAUGACCCCUAUUGAUUUUCAGGUCACUAGGUCAAAGGUCAAGGUCACAGUGAUUCAAAACAGUAAAAUGGUUUCCGGAUGAUAACUCAAGAAUGCUUACGCCUAGGAUCAUGAAACUUCAUAGGUACAUUGAUCAUGACUGGCAGAUGACCCCUGUUGAUUUUCAGGUCACUAGGUCAAAGGUCAAGGUCACAGUGACUCGAAACAGAAAAAUGCUUUCCUGAUGAUAACUCAAGAAUAAUUACGCCUAGGAUCAUGAAACUUCAUAGGUACAUUGAUCAUGACUGGCAGAUGACCCCUAUUGAUUUUCAGGUCACUAGGUUAAAGGUCAAGGUCACAGUAACUCGAAACAGUAAAAUGGUUUCCGGAUGAUAACUCAAGAAUGCUUACGCCUAGGAUCAUGAAACUUCAUAGGUACAUUGAUCAUGACUGGCAG